AGUGAACGCUGGCGGUAGGCCUAACACAUGCAAGUCGAACGGCAGCACAGUAAGAGCUUGCUCUUACGGGUGGCGAGUGGCGGACGGGUGAGGAAUACAUCGGAUUCUACUUUUUCGUGGGUGAUAACGUAGGGAAACUUACGCUAAUACCGCAUACGACCUACGGGUGAAAGCAGGGGAUCUUCGGACCUUGCGCGAUUGAAUGAGCCUAUGUCGGAUUAGCUAGUUGGCGGGGUAAAGGCCCACCACGGCGACGAUCCGUAGCUGGUCUGAGAGGAUGAUCCGCCACACUGGAACUGAGACACGGUCCAGACUCCUACGGGAGGCAGCAGUGGGGAAUAUUACACAAUGGGCGCAAGCCUGAUCCAGCAAUACCGCGUGAGUGAAGAAGGCCUUCGGGUUGUAAAGCCCUUUUGUUGGGAAAGAAAAACAGCAGGUUAAUACGCCGCUGUUCUGACGGUACCCAAAGAAUAAGCACCGGCUAACUUCGUG
rnacentral:rRNA from 1 species